AGUGAAUACUUGGGCUCCCUCUGGUGGCCUUAAAGUGGAAGCUCAAUAACACAUACACACGUGGGAGGACGCCAGACCGGGAGUGAGAGGGGUGGAACGCAGAACCAGGAAGUCUGGAACGCAAAAGACAGGAUGUCAAAUUACAAAGGGGAAGUGGGUGGAUAUAAUUCGGGGUUUGGAGCUGUUUGUGUCUCUUUGGCUAUAUUUUUGAUUUUUUUUUGGAACCCAGAAGAUAAUAUAAGUACACAGAAGAAAGGUGUUGGCAGCGAGAUAUAACCGGGUUCCUCCGCUAAUGAUGGACGGGGAUGACGGCACCAAUAUUACAGAUAGGAUAUUAAACCUGACCCUGGAAAUAAUCUACCUGCUGACCGGAGAGGAUUAUGGACCCCUAAAGAAGUCCAAGGAUCCCUGGUCUUCUUCUCUGACAAUGAAUAACAACAAGAAGAUUCUAGAAGUCGCCCAGAAGAUGAUGGAGCUUCU